UACGAAGGGGGCUAGCGUUGCUCGGAAUCACUGGGCGUAAAGCGCACGUAGGCGGCUUUCUAAGUCAGGGGUGAAAUCCUGGAGCUCAACUCCAGAACUGCCUUUGAUACUGGAGAGCUUGAGUCCGGAAGAGGUGAGUGGAACUCCGAGUGUAGAGGUGAAAUUCGUAGAUAUCUGGAGGAAUACCGGUGGCGAAGGCGGCAUCCUGGACCGGCAUUGACGCUGAGUGAGCGAAAGCCAGGGGAGCAAACGGG
rnacentral:rRNA from 1 species